UUACGUUUCAAGAGGAAGUUUAUAAAAUGGCUUAGAGGCAUCUCAAAGAGUUCAACAUCAGUUUUGUAAUGGCCCAUUUUUGCCCGGGCUGACACCAAGACCAAAACCAAAAUAAAAACAAAAAUAACAAAAAUCCAAAAUUAAAAGUCCAAUGUCCGGUUACAAAUAUUUGGACAAAAAAUAAUUUAAACCCCAAAAUGACCCAUAACCCAAUAAAUCCUAAAAACUAAUUAACCCAUAUCCCAAAUUUAGCCCAAAACCUGAGGCCCAAUGCACCCAAAGUUGUUUCAACCUCUGGUGAAUGCCAGAAGAUUCUGGAGCAAGCUGGAACGACACCAGAAGGUUGGUCUCACAUGAGAGACCCUUGCGCUCAGCCUCCACAUCACCCGGGGUCAUCUUCUCCGUACGGCCAUCUCUGCAAAAGAACACACGAGAAGAAAAACUAACAGAAUACAACAGAUGACAGCCAGUAAAUGUAUUUUUAUUUAUUUAUUUAUUUUUCCUCUGUAAAUCCGGCUACAAAAAGCCGAGAAUAUGUACCUUGAUUCUUUACACAUACAGAUUACGCUCAAUAUACGCAUGCACAUUAGAUAUUCAAAAAUCUAGCCCAAAAUUUUGAAAGGUGAAUCCCAGAUUUAUUCUUUAUUUUCUUUGAUUGAUUCGCAGAUUUACCAAGAAUAUUAAAAGGGGGAAAUCUAGGACGCCGAUGAAAAGCCCCAAACAUCUCCGAUAUACAUAGAUGUGGGCGAGGGUCGAGUGAGAUUAAAGUUUUGUUUGAAUAUUUGAGAAAUUUAUUUUGUUUUUGUUUUUGUUUUAAAAAAAAAAAAGCAGUAUAAGAUUCACAUUUUUUUUUGUGAAAAAAAAAAGGAAAGGAGCGAAGUUACCUGAUUUUUGGAAAGGUGACCUUUGUUGGCUAGAUCUGGCCCUUAUCCGCACCACUGGCCAUCAAACUGACGGAUGUUCAUGGCUGCGUGAUGAAAUGAACCCACACAGAGCAAGGGUUCUGUUUUUUUUGGCAUCUGCUUUGAACAGAAAAGAAUGAAAAUAGGGUUUUUAGCACUAAAAGUAAAACGGCGCCGCACAGGGGGAAUGAAGGUCCGCGCGUUAACCCGCCUGGAGCCCCGAAUUUGUGCCUUUGCGCCUGGAAGGGAAUAUUUGUGCGGCAGGUUUCUCCUACUUGUACCGCGUUGUAAUUUGCUCCUAUUUGCAUUCGAUUUGCUUUAUUUUCUUUUAGAUUAUCCCUAAAAUUUGAAAUACUUUUAUGUUUUAGUCCAUAUUUCAACACAAUGUUUCAAGAUCAGGGAUUAUUUCAAUUUUGAUCCCUGUGAAUUCAUGUGUGUUAUAUAUAUGUCACCUUUAGUAGUUUUACUUAUUUUGUAAAUUUUCUUUUUAUUUUUACUUUGAUUUCGAUUAAGUAUUUUAUUAGAUUUAUGUUAUAAAUUUGGGUUUAUUCACUCAUAUAUUUUCAAUCCUUUUAUUAAUGUACGUAUAUUCAUCCUUAUUUUAUUUUCAUUUUUAUUUGUUACUGUUUAUAUUAUUUGUAAUGUUAAUAUUAAUGGUAUUAUUUGUAUUGUUGGUUACUUAUUUGUUGUAAUUUGGGAUACUUGAAUUUCCAUAUUGUUGUACAUUAUUUUAUGUAAUGUUUUAUGUGUUAUUGUACAUGUAUGCAGCAUAAUAAUUGGUUUUAUUCAAUGAACAUUAUUAACAUUAAAUUAUUAUAUAUAUAUUUAACUAUUUUUUUCACAUAUUAAUGUUAUUUGUAUUUGUAUUUUAAAAAUAAAAUCGCAUGUUAUAUACAGUAACUAAAUUUUAACUAUACAUAUACAAAAAUUAUUGAUAUAUAUAAUUUAAAUACAUUUUUAAACAUUAGUAUUUUUAUACAUAUAAUUUCUUUUAGAUUUAUUCACAUAUCUUUCUUAUUUAAAAAGAAAAUCCCACAUAUUUUGUGUAUUAUUUAAGUUAUUAUUAAACAUAUAUUUAGAAUUUAUAUUUAAUUUGUAUUCAUUAUUAAAGCCAAGAUAUUCUUAUACAUAUAUAUAUUUUUUAAAUAAACUCAUAUAAUUGUGUUUUUAAAUUAUUAUGUAUAUAAAUUAUGUAUAAUUCUAUAAUUCAUAUUCUAAUUAAAUGAUAUUUUGACAUAUAAUUAUUUUUGACAUAUAAUUAUUUCUAACAUUUUUUUCACAUGUAUAUGGUACAUAUUAAAUUAUUUUUACUAUGGAAUAUGUUAUUAUUUUCAUAUAGCUUUAUGUAAAUAUUGUUCUAUGUAUAUAUAUCCUCUUUAAAAUUAUUUAUGUGUAUGAUAUUUUGAAGAACCCUUUUAAAUCAUAUAAUUUAUUGUAUCUCAUAUUAUCCUUAUGUUCUUUUUCAUAUAUAUAAAUAUAUAUUGUACUUAUAUAACUUAUAUAUUUGCUUCAUUUUUUAUACAUUAUUAAUUCCAAAUAAUUAUACCCAAUUUUUUUACUUAUAUAUAACAGUUUCAUAAAUUGACUUUGUAUAUUAUUUUAUAUCUUGUAUUGUUAUUCCUUCAUAUUUAAUACAUUAUUUAAGUUAUCUUGUGAAUUACCAAUUUUUGAAUAAAUUUGUGUUUUAAAUAUUUUGUAUAUGAUUUAAUUUGAACUUUGAAAUUUAUAAUAACUAUUUCAAUAAACAUAUAUCCCAAGUUUUAUACAAGUGUGUCAACUUAUGUAUUAUAUAAACAUUAAUUUUUCAUUUUGUUUCAUAAAUAUUUUUGUACAUCAUUUUAUUUUAUGUUAUGACCAUGAGUAUUAUUUUUAUAUUAAUUAUUCAUUAUCCAUGCUUAAAGAAUUUUUUUUUGUUACAUUAUACCUAAUAUGAUUGUUAGAUGUAUUAAGCAAGGUUUAUUGUAUUUUGAGUAUAUUAUUUCAUAUGUUUUUUUUUUACAAUGCAUUAAAUAUUUCAUCAAUUUUAAAAUGAAUAAACAUGUUUUUAAGCAAAUUUCUAAAUUUUUUUCAAAAAUUCUGAAAUAAGGCAAUAUCUAGUGUUUGGGAAAUUUGGAAAAUCAUGCUCAAUCGUACUGGGUAUGACUUUUCUGAUGAACCAAAUAUUUGGAUAACCCCUUUUACAAUUUUUUUUAUUUUUUUCAAAAGUCAAAAAUCGAUCGCAUCUUAAAGGUAUAAGGGAUCGUAUCCAAUCGUACAGGGUAUGAAACCACAUAUCUUUGGAACGAGAAAUUUUUGACCACUAAUUUGAGCUAUUCAAACAUUUUUUUAUAUACUUCGAAAAAUCUUUUCUUUUAAAACUUUUUAAGGACAGCAUCAAAUCAAUUUGGUACCAGUUUUUGGGCUAAUGAGGGUGCUAACCCUUCCUCAUGCGUAACCGACUCCCGAACCCCUUUUUUUAUUUUACCUAAACCAAAUUUAUUUUUCAUAAAAUAAAGUGUUUUAAUAUGUGGUCCAAUCACACCUAAAUCAAGAGAAUGGUGGCGACUCCACACUCGUUUUUAAAAGUCGAUCCCCAUUGCUUUCAAAAUAAAAAAAGGGUUUCGACAGCUUGGUGACUCUACUGGGAUUGAACGAAGAGAGUCAGGCCAUAAAAUUGAUUGUUUGCUGUCCUUUUAAUUGAAAAUUUGUUUUAAAAAAAUAUGAUUCUUUUAACUGCACUUGCUUGUGUGCUUUUUGUGUUUCGAGUCUUGUCUAAUAAAUAUGGCAUUACAUUGCAUGACCGUUGUGGUUAUACCUAUUAAGUGGGAGUAAGAAACUAUGCUUUCGUGAGGUUUUCACCUUCGUAUGGGCUAGUGGGUUGCUUCCGGGAUACAUCUGUACCUAUGAUUCCGUGAGAUUUUCAUCUCCGCAUGGUCAUAGGGAAAUGUAUUCCCCUGAACCGAACUCAAUCUAUAUGAGUCUAUAAUAGGUGAGGAUUGAGGAAUCUGCUGGUUCGGGUACCUUUACUUUAGAACCGAGCUUUAUAUAGUGAACCUUAAGAACUAUCCUUAGGUAGAGCCACGUCGAACCUUAGUCAUUACCCAUUUGUGUGUUAUGAUUAUUUUUGUUGUUAUACUUGUAUUUUAUUGCGCAUAUUUGAUACUAACCUGUGCUUUGUUUUGGUUGUGUUUUGCAUGACAUUGCAUACUAAAGGAGGUGUUGGUUCGUAUUCGAUUGCUAAGUUAGAAAGUUUAACAUGGAGAAUGAAUUUCUUAGUGAAGUUGAGGAUAAUGCGGUCGUCCGUGCAUGGUCAGAGAAGUUGCAAGCCGAGAAAGGGGAUAGCCUGAUAGAAGGAUAUACAUCAGAGUUGCAGAAUUUUACUCGCAUCAUUGUAACACAGGAUGAGCUGCAGGAGUUGAAGGAUAUAUGGACUAGUAGGGAUGAGGGCACUAAACAGUUGUUCUACCAAAGUUAUGGUGAUAUACCGUACUUGCUCGAUGUUAAGGUGGAUAAGCGUUUGUUCCGAGGUAUGGCUCAAUUUUGGAAUGCUGCUUAUAAUUGUUUCACAUUUGGAGAAGUAGAUUUGGUUCCUACUUUAGAAGAAUACACUACUUUGUUGAGGAGUCCAAAGGCUCAAGCCAGGAAAAUUUAUACUAAGCUUACUAAUAGUCAAACUUUUACGAAGAGGUUGGUGAAUAUUUCGGGGAUGAGUGAAUCUUGGGUCACUGCUCGAAUUCAACAGAAGGGGGAUAGUAAGUGUAUUCCUUGGGAAAAUUUGUGAGAUUUGAUUUUGAUGCACCCAGAUGAGAAGAAAAGGGUUGAAAUUUUUGCCUUAAGCAUCUAUGGAUUGGUGAUUUUUCCUAGGGCUUUAAGACAUGUUGAUGAAGCAGUCACUGAUUUGUUUGAUCGUCUCGGGAAAGGAGUCACACCUGUACCUGCAAUAUUGGCCGAGACAUUUAGAUCUUUGAGCAUGUGCCAGAAGACGGAGAAGGUCGAUUUAUUGGCUGUGCACAGUUGUUAAUGGUAUGGUUUCACGGGUAUUUUUGGAAAGUAGAUAAGGUAUCGUACCGGGUUUUCUCCGAAGGUUACUCCCUGUUAAAAGAAGAGGUAGCAAUGCAAAGGAGAGAUGAUAUUUCGGAAGAGAAAUGGAUGGAAAUUCUCCAAAAUCUCAAGAAAGAUGAUGUAGAGUGGAGGGCUUUCUGGAUGGUUCCUGACAAAAUCUUGUAUCGAUGUGGAGACUAUAAUUGGGUGCCAUUAUUAGGAAUCUGGGGAGCUACUGGAUAUACUCCUUUACUUGCACUAAGCCAGUAUAAGUCGAGACAGUUCAUACUUAUGACGCACGGGUUGGCUCAGUGUGAACUUCCAUAUAAAGGAGACCAUUAUAGGAAGAAGGUUCGAGAAUUGUCUGAUGCUUGGAGGUAGAUGUACUGGAUGAAAAGGAUGACUGUUGGUUCUAUGGUAACAUCCGAAUAUAAUGGAUGGUUUAGGAAAAGGGUCAAUGACAAUAUUCCUAGACCAAGUUCAGAAAGCGCUCAGCCAACUGAGGAACAGUUACAAAUUGCCCCGUCGGAGUUGGAAAUUAUGAAGCAGGAUUUUGAGAAGAAGAGUUCUGAGUUCGGGAAGAAGAUUGAGCAGUUGGAAGAGGAAAAAAUGUACUUGAAGUUAGAAGUGGAGAUUCAAAAGUCAGAGGCAGAGAAGCUACAAAAAAGGAAGGGUAAAGUUGAGGAAUAUUUGGAAAGUUUGAAAAUAGAUUAUAAGAAGUUGCGCUUAUCAAUGAGGACCGAUGGGCUAGGAAAGACUUAGGAACAAUGGCGCCAGGCGGUUCGAGAAGAAAGGGCUAAAGCAGAUCAAUAGGAAAAGAGGUUCUAGGAGGCUCAAGCUAGGAGUGAAACUCUAGAAAAAAGUUUGGCGGAGAGUAAGAAUGAAAAAGAUGAAUUAAGAGCCAGAGUAGCUGAACUUGAAAGAUCUCUGUGUUUAUACCAGAAUCGCAAUUCUGUGACAGAGUUGAAAGCAAGCUUAAGUAAGAUCAAGGAGAUGAAAGGAAAAAUAGAAGAGCUAGAAAUAGCCUUACAGAAUUGUGAAAUGAGGAUUGAGUUCUUGGAGGCAAAUGAGGAGUAGUGGAAGAAUCAACUUCAUUACUCUCAGGACCAAGUUAGAAGCAGGGAUUACAUCAUAGGAGAAGCUGUAACGCAGAUUCGAGAAAUAGCUGACUACUUGCAGUCUUUGGCAGUACAGGCGGACGUAUUAAGUGUGAAGUACGAGCUGGAGUCAGAUAGGGGACAAGAACUAGCUUUAUUGCUUAGGAAAAUUAAGGCCCUCAGUGUUAGGGCGAAGUCGUAUUUGUAACUCAGUUUUAUGUAAAAAGCUUUAUUUUCUAGUGAAAUUUUUUAAAAGGAAUUGAAUCAGAAUUGAUGCCUCAUUUGUAUUCAUGCAUUUGAAUUACAUUACAUCAUAUGCAUUAAAGAUCAUAAUAAGAUUCUAAUUAAUUACAAAUUAUUUCAGUAAUCUGGAAACCAACCAAAAUACACUAAAUACGCAUCCUUACGGUACGAGGAAAAAGACUAAGUCAAUGGAUAAAAGACUGGAAAAGUUAGAACAAAUACAAAAGGAUAUGCAAGAGCAAAUGCAGUUACAGAUACAAGAACGGCUUGAUAAGAUGCAGCAAGAAAUGAAAGAACAGAUGAUGGAGACCCAAAGAGAGAUGAUGAGUCAGUUGUCCCAAUUGCUGAUGGGAAGAAUGGAUAAGGGAAAAGGUCGAAUAGAUAAUAUGGGAGAAAGUAAUGAAGACCCCCAAUAUCCUCCUGGCUUCACUCCUGUACAUAUGCAGACGCAACCAGAGAUUAAUUUACAAAAGCCAUCUGUUACAAUCAGGCCUCAGCAAUUUCAAGCCGGGUUUCGGUUCCAAUGAAUUUUCAAGCUGGUUCAGGUUAUAAUCCUGGUAAUAACUCACAUAAUCUAAUGGUCCCUGAUUUGGAUGAAGUUGCAAAAGAGGAAAGAGUAAAGGCAGAAUCGCAAAGGCAGUUAGAAGAACGGUGCAAAUGGCUGGAGGAAAAGGUCAGAGCAAUGGAGGGUGGUGAUAGACACCCUGGGAUUGAUGCAAAGGAUCUGAGUUUGGUCCCAGACUUAGUACUGCCAUACAAGUUCAGGAUGCCAGAAUUUGAGAAAUACAAUGGAACGAGCUGUCCUGAAGCUCAUAUCACUAUGUUUUGUAGAAGGAUGAUAGGGUAUGUUCAUAAUGAUCAAUUGCUGAUUCAUUGCUUCAAGGAUAGGCUGGUGGGAGUAGCUGCUAAAUGGUACAAUCAAUUGAAUCGAAAUAGAAUUAGUUCAUGGAGGGACUUAACACAGGCAUUCAUGAAGCAAUACAGCCAUGUGACAGAUAUAAUUCCUGAUAGAAUUACUCUGCAGAAUAUGGAGGAAAAACCAAACAAAAGUUUUAAGCAGUAUGCUCAGAGAUGGAGGGAAAUGGCCAUUCAAGUUCAGCCACCGCUCCUAGAAAAAGAAACCACGAUGCUCUUCAUUAAUACUUUAAAGGCCCCGUUUAUAACGCAUAUGCUAGGAAGUGCCACGAGAAGCUUUGUGGAUAUGGUCAUGACAGGAGAAAUGAUUGAAAAUGUCAUAAAAAAUAGAAGGAUAGACGUGGGAGAAAGUGCUAAAAGGUCUGUACCACGGAAGAAAGAGAAUGAGGUGAACAAUGUGAACGUGGGAUACUCGAAGUCUAUUACUGUGAGUCAACCAAAGGCAAUAACUACUGGUCAGGGUUCAUCACGUCAAGAGUCAGGGACCAGGCAGAAUAAUGAGAAGAUUCAAUUUACACCAAUUCCUACGACAUACAAAGAAUUAUAUCAAAGUUUGUUCGAUGCACAUGUGGUGGCACCUUUUUACUUGAAGCCUAUACAGCCUUCGUUCUCUAAAUGGUAUGAUGCUAAUGCCCAGUGUGAGUAUCACGUAGGAAUUGUGGGUCAUUCGAUAGAAAAUUGCACCACUUUUAAGAAGCUGGUUGAGAGAUUUAUCCAAAUGGGUAUAGUGAAAUUUGAUAAUGCGCCCGGUGCUAAAAAUCCACUGCCUAAUCAUACUGAUGGCGGGGUAAAUGCAAUAGAUAGAGGUAUUGGAAAAAGGACCAAGAGGGAUGUUUCAGAAGUAAAGACGCCUUUGAGACGAGUUUGGAAGGAGAUGACAAGGAGAGGAUUAGUUACUUCAAGCACAGAAGGAAAUGAUAAUGGGAUAGAAAAUUAUUGUGAUUACCAUCAUAAAGAGGGACACAGAAUUCAGGAAUGUGAAGAAUUCAGAGCUGUUAUUCAAGGUCUGAUGGACAGCAAGGAAAUGGAGUUUUAUGAAGAGAUCAAUAAGGAGGAAUAUAUAUGUGCGUCAGAGUACACAUCAAGUCCAAAAGUCAAUUAUCCUGUGGUUAUUAUCUCGCGUCCUAAGAAUAAAGCAGGAGUUCAAAUGGCGCCAAAGAUUAUAAUUCAGAAGCCCGCAGUUUUUUCUUACAAGGAUAAUAAGCAAGUCCCCUGGAACUAUAAAUGUAAUGUGACUAUCCCGGGAAAGGAGAAUUCAGCUAGCUCGUUAAAGGAGGAUCAAAAUGUAGGGUCUCACACAUGCAGUGGAAGGCGAUAUGAUACCUGAACAGAACUGGUGAAAGAAAGAGAGAUGCUGGUUGAGCAAAAGAAAGGAAACUCAGUCGAACUAGAUAUACCUGUUAAUAAACCAGUGAAAGAAGAAGAAGCUAAGGAAUUCUUGAAAUUUCUGAAACAUAGCGAGUACAGUGUGGUAGAACAGUUGCGUAAACAAUCGGCCCGCAUAUCUAUAUUGGCUCUACUCCUGAGUUCAGAGGUGUAUUGGAGUGCAUUGAUGAAGGUGCUAAAUGAGACAUAUGUAACCAACGAUAUUUCUGUUAGUAAGCUGGAUCGGUUGGUUAAUAACAUAAGUGCAGACAAUUUUAUCUUUUUCAAUGAUGAUGAGAUUCCGCUAGGAGGGAUGGGAUCUACCAAAGCUUUGCAUAUAACUACCAGGUGUAAAGGGUAUACGCUGCCAGGGGUAUUGGUAGAUAACGGUUCAGCAUUGAAUGUGUUGCCUUUAUCCACACUGAACAAGUUACCUGUGGAUAGUUCUCAUAUGAAAGGAUGUCAGAACAUAGUACAAGCAUUUGAUGGCAUAGAGAGGAGAGUCAUGGGGAGAAUUGAGGUACCCUUGUUAAUUGGCCUAACUAUGUAUGAGAUAGAUUUUCUAGUAAUGGAUAUUAAGCCCUCUUACAAUUGCUUGUUGGGAAGACCUUAGAUACACUCGGCAGGGGCGGUACCUUCAUCAUUACAUCAAAAGCUGAAGUUGGUGUCAGAAGGGCGGUUGGUAACAAUAAAUGCUGAAGAAGAUAUUAUUGCGGCUGUAAGCAGUGGUGCGCCAUAUGUAGAAAUAGAUGAGGAAGCCAUUGGGUGUUCUUUCCGGUCUUUGGAGUUUGUGAAUGCAGCAUUCAUCACUAAGGGAAGUAGAAUUUUGGAGCCAGAAAUGUCCAAAACUACGAUGAUGGGUUUGCAGUUGAUGGUAGGCCGAGGAGCUAUGCCAGGAAAGGGGCUUGGAAAAUACCUUCAAGGAAGAAUUGUAGUGCCAAUGUUGAAAGACAAACAGGAUCGCUUUGGUUUGGGGUUCAAGCCAGAUGCAAGGCAAAGAAAAAAUGAGCUAGAAAGAAGACAAGAAAGAAGAAGAGCCCGAGUGAGUGGUGGGGAAAUCAAGUGGGAGCCCAUGAUAAUUCCUCAUAUCUCUAAGUCUUUUGUAUCAAGAGGCAUUAUUUAUCUUGAACGGGGAAUGUUAGAGAAAGAAAGCAUGGAAGAAGCAUUGGGAGAUGUGUACAUUAAUGCCAUAUUUGAAGAGACAAUUGAAGAGGGGAUUUCGUCAAAUAUUCGUCCAUAUGAGCCUAGGAGUGUUCUAAACAAUUGGACUGUAGAAGAUCUUCCUGUAAUUUUUAGAGCUUGCUCAGAGUAAUGUUCGAAACAAACUUGUUUUUUUAAGCCUAGAAACAAUAAAGAUUUCUUUGUGAAAUAGGCUCAUGUUCAAACAUCAUUAUUUCAAUGAAGUACAUUUUUUGCUAUCAUUUUGAGUAAAUGUUAUUCUUUUCACAAGCAAUUGUGUAAUUCUUUCUAUCUAAAUAAUUAUCUUAAUUCUUUCUUCAAUUCAUAAACAUCUCAUACAAAGCAAUAAUUUCCAAAUUCAUUCAUUCUUUGUAUAUUUUUGUACCUUUAAUAGGUCCCUAGAUAUCAAUGUCAUGAGCGACGCUGUUACUGACUCAGAAUCACUAUUUGCGCGAGACAUGUGUUUAGAGGGAUCUCAGGACUUUGAAGAUGAUAGAGUCUGUGAUUUAUUUCCAGAUUUGUUAAAGAUGGUAGAACAAGAGGAAAAGUAAAUUUUACCUCACAAAGAAACAGUAGACAUGGUGACUUUGGAAGAGGGGAAAGUUGUAAAAAUUGGAGCAUACAUAGCUGAAGAGACAAAACGAGACCUUGUUGAGUUACUUCAGGAAUUCAAAGAUGUUUUUGCAUGGUCAUACCAGGAUAUGCCUGGUUUAAGUCCUGAUAUUGCAGUACAUUGCCUUCCAAUAAGAGAAGAUUGCAAGCCAGUACAGUAGAAGCUUCGACGAAUGAGGCCAGAUAUUGUCUUAAAGAUCAAGGAAGAAGUUAAAAAGUAGUUUGAUGCGGGAUUCCUUUAGGUGAUCAAGUACUCAGAAUGGGUAGCUAAUGUGGUGCCAGUUCCCAAGAAAGACGGCAAGGUGCGAAUGUGUGUGGAUUAUAGAUAUCUAAAUAAAGCGAGCCCAAAGAACAACUUCCCUUUGCCUCACAUUGAUACACUAGUGGAUAAUACAGCUGGUUACUCGUUGUUUUCCUUUAUGGAUGAUUUCUCGGGGUAUAAUCAGAUCAAGAUGCAUCUUGAAGACAUGGGAAAGACUACUUUUAUAACCUUGUGGGGCACGUUUUGUUACAAGGUGAUGCCAUUUGGAUUGAAGAAUGCUGGAGCAACGUGUCAGAGAGCCAUGGUGACUUUAUUUCAUGAUAUGAUGCACAAAGAAAUCAAAGUGUAUGUUGACGAUAUGAUAGCCAAAUCUCGAACUGAAAAGGAGCACAUUCAGGUGUUGAGAAAGUUGUUCAUGAGAUUGAGAAAAUUUCAGUUAAAGCUUAAUCCAACAAAGUGUAUUUUUGGGGCUAGAUCCGGAAAGCUAUUGGGCUUUGUAGUCAGUGAGAAGGGAAUUGAGAUUGAUUCAGACAAGGUCUAGGCUAUACAGGAGUUGUCUCCACCACGUACCCAAAAAGAAGUUCGGGGUUUCCUUGGAAGAUUAAAUUACAUUGCGCGGUUUAUUUCUCAAUUAACGGAGAAGUGUGACCCUAUAUUCCGUCUUCUUAAAAAGCAUAACCCAGGGGAAUGGGAUGAUAAAUGUCAAAAGGCUUUUGAUAAAGUUAAAGAAUAUUUGUCAAGUCCUCCAAUGUUAUCACCCCCAAGUUCAGACAGGCCGUUGAUAUUGUAUUUGACCGUGUUUGGUAAUUCAAUGGGAUGUGUUCUUGGUCAACAUGACGAAUUAGGAAGAAAGGAAAAGGCGAUAUAUUACCUCAGUAAGAAAUUCACUGAGUGUGAGUUGAGAUAUUCGCCAAUUAAAAAAUUGUGUUACGCUUUGGUUUGGACAGCACGAAGAUUGACGCAAUAUAUGUUGUAUCAUACAACCUGGCUAAUCUCAAAAUUGGAUCCUUUAAAAUAUAUGAUGGAAUCAAAUGCCUUGAACGGAAGGAUGGCUAAGUGGCAAAUUUUGCUUUCUGAAUUUGACAUAAUUUACAUGACUCAAAAAGCUAUAAAGGGGAGUGCAAUAGCAGAUUUUCUGGCCAGCCGAGCUUUAGAAGAUUAUGAGCCCUUGAAUUUUGACUUCCCCUAUGAAGAGAUAGUGUAUGUAGCAGCUGCUGAAGAAGACAAUACAAAAGGUCACUGUUGGAAAUUGAAUUUUGACAGAGCCUCAAAUGCUAUGGGUAAUGGAGUUGGGGCAGUUCUGGUAUCCCCAGAUGGAGAUCAUUAUCCAUUCACAUGUAAAUUGGAUUUUGAUUGUACAAAUAAUAUGGCAGAAUAUGAAGUAUGUAUCAUGGGGCUUAGAGUAGCUAUAGAAUGCAGGAUCAAAUCGUUGGAAGUAUAUGGAGAUUCUGCAUUGGUAAUUUAUCAACUUCAAGAUGAAUGGGAAACAAGAGAUUCCAAGCUAAUCAAUUAUAGAAGAUUGGUGUUGGGGUUGGUUGAAGAGUUUGAUGAUAUUACUUUCAAUUAUCUCCCGCGCGAAGAAAACCAGAUGGCAGAUGCUUUGGCUACUUUGGCUUCCAUGAUCAAAGUAAGCCGACAAGAGGAUGUGAAGCCUAUUCAGAUGAGUAUUUAUGAGGCCCCGUCUUAUUGUUAUAAUAUAGAGGAAGAAGAAAGAGAUGAUCAUCCUUGGUAUCAGGAUAUAUUGCGGUACGUAAGAAAUCGUGAGUAUCCAGAUCAAGCCACAGAGAAUGACAAAAGAAUGUUGAGAAGGCUCGCUUGCGAUUAUGUUUUAGAUGGAGAGAUCUUAUACAAAAGAAGGAAAGAUCAGGUACUUUUGAGAUGCGUGGAUGCCGUGGAGUCCAAGAAAAUUUUAGAGGAAGUGCACGAAGGUGUUUGUGGAACGCACGCCAAUUAGUUCACAAUGGCCAGACAAAUUAUGCAGUUUAGGUAUUAUUGGUCAACCAUGGAAGCAGAGUGCAUCAAUUAUGCUAAGAAAUGUCAUAAAUGUCAAAUUUAUGGUGAUAAGAUUCACGUACCUCCCUCGCCCUUGCAUGUUAUGACUUCCCCAUUGCCAUUUUCCAUUUGGGGCAUGGAUGUCAUAGGGCCAAUUUCACCAAAGGCUUCAAAUGGGCAUCGUUUCAUUUUUGUGGUCAUCGAUUAUUUUACCAAAUGGGUGGAAGCUACUUCGUACGCUAGUGUAACUAAAUCGGCAGUCAGUAGAUUCUUAAAGAAAUAAAUUAUAUGUCAAUACAGAAUGCCUGAGAAAAUCAUAUCUGAUAAUGCACUGAAUUUGAACAAUAGUACAAUAGCAGAGGUCUGCAGUCAGUUUAAAAUCAGACAUCAAAACUGGUCACCAUAUCGCCCGAAGAUGAAUGGAGCAGUGGAAGCAGCUAAUAAAAAUAUCAAGAAGAUUGUGGGGAAAAUGACCGAAACUUACAAAGAUUGGCAUAAAAAGUUGUCAUUUGCUCUUUAUGCUUAUCGAACAUCUGUCAGAACUUCUACUGGGGCAACACCAUUCUCAUUAGUCUACGGAAUGGAAGCAAUCCUGCACAUUAAACUGGAGAUACCUUCUCUUCAAGUUUUGUCAUAAUUGAAGUUGGAUGAAGCAGAAUGGAUACAGUCUCGAUAUGAUCAGCUGAAAUUGAUUGAGGAAAAAAGGCUAAAAGCUAUUCGGCAUGGGCAGAUGUAUCAAAAAAGAAUGAUGCGGGCUUAUGACAAAAAGGUUCGCCCAAGAGAGUUUCAUGAGGGAGAUUUGGUUUUGAAGAAGAUUCUUCCCAUACAAAAAGAUUUCAGAGGUAAAUGGAUGCCGAAUUGGGAGGGGCCCUAUGUGGUGAAGAAAGCUUUCUCUGGUGGUGCAUUAAUACUGGCCGAAAUGGAUGGAAAAAAUUUGUCUAAUCCAGUGAACUCGGAUGCAGUCAAAAAGUACUACACUUGACAAGGGAAAAGGCCAAAGUGAAAACCCGCAAAGGGCGCUUUGAGACCCAAUAAUAAAAAAAAAGAAAGAAUAAAGAAAAAGGAGAGGCCAAGGUGAAAACCCGUAAAGGGCGCCUUGUGACCAAAAGGGAUUUGAGUUGAAAACCCGAAAAGGGCGGCUCAAAUAUGGAUCCAAAGUGAGGAGGUUGUGAUCUUGAUAUACCUGAGUUAACCAUGAAGGGGAUAUGUUGUAUCUUGAAGAAUUGACAGAGUGCUUCUGAUCUCUUAAACACAUGUUGAGUUUGAAUUAGUCUUCAAGAAGUUUGUACAGAAAAGCUCAAGUUGCGAUAACAAGCGUACCUAGUCUUCAUUUUCAGAAAAUUGGUUAUCUUUAUCCUUUCUUUUUCAAGAUAUACAUUCCUAAAUUAAUGGUCAUUGUUAUUCUUUUGAUAAUUUAAUUUUAAUUCAAGAUUACUUUCCACUCUUGUUCAUUAUCACGAUUUGAUUGCAAGCAUGUUGCAUUGACAUAAUGAUGAAUGAACUAGUGAUGUUUUCACAAUAGAAGUUUUGCAUAUUACUCUUAGAGUUUCUAGAUAAUGCAAGAAUCUGAAGUGAGAUAAUUGUUUAGAAGACGCUCAAGUUCAAGGAUAUAUUUGGAUAAAUCGCCUUUUUAAGGUCUUUGUCCAAAUGAUGAUAGUAUUUUGUCGAGGAAAAAGAAAUGACAUUUUGUAUUCAUACAAAGAACAAAAAUGCACCUUUGGCUAUAACACCUGAGGAGUGAGGUAGCAAAUUGACCGAGAAGAAAAUUCAAUUAUGAGUUGCAAAGUUUGGUCUCAAAGAGAAUAGUAGAAGGGACGUGGGAAUUACAAUGGGGCAAGCUCGCUAGACAUGAUAGGAUUUUCUUUGGGAUACUCCAUCAAGAUGAUGGUUGAGCAAAGGUGUCAGUAACGGCAUAUUAAUGAACAACGGGUGACGAUGCCCUAAAUUGUUAAAAUGGAAUCAUUUUCAUUUCUGCAAGUAUCAUUUAGUUAGGAGUCUUUGAUUCAUUUCGAUCAUAGCACCCUAAUUAUUUGACAUAAGCAUCACAUUUAGUUAGGAGCAUUUGAUUCAUUUCGAUCAUAACAUCAUAAUUAUUUGGCAUAAGCAUGUGCAUAUAAAUUGGAGUCUACAGGAUAGGUCCCCUAGAGGGCAAUGUAGUAACAUUGGUAAAGAUUGAAGAUUUUAUCUCCCUGAAGUUGCAGCGGAGCAGAUCUUUGCAGAUGGUGAAUCUUAUCUCUAUGUAUCGGCAAUGGAGCAGAUUUAAGCCUUAAGCCUUACCUCUCUGAGGUAGCAAGAGAGCAGGUUAAAGAUUGAAGUCUUAUCUUCUUGAGGUAGCAAGGAAGUAGACUGAAGAUUGAAGAUCUUAUCUCCCUAAGCAGUAGCGAAGCAGAUCGAGGAUGGCGAAUCUUAUCUCCAUGUAUCGGUAAUGGAGCAGAUUUUAGCUAUUGACCUUAUCUCUCUGAGGUAGCAAGAGAGCAGAUUGGCGAUUGAGUCUUAUCUGCCUGAUGUAGCAAGGAAGCAGAUUGAGAAUUGAAGAUUUUAUCUCCUUGAAGUUGUAGUGGAGCAAAUCUUCGCAGAUGGAAUCUUAUCUCCAUGUAUCGGCAAUGGAGCAGAUUUUACUACUAAACCUUAUCUCUCUAAAGUAGCAAGAGAGUAGGUUAAAGAAUGAGUCUUAUCUUCCUGAGGUAGCAAGGAAGUAGAUUGGGAAUUAAAGAUUUUAUCUCCCUGAAGUUGCAGCGGAGCGAAUCUUCGCAGAUCUCCAUGUAUCGGCAAUGGGGCAAAUUUCACCGCCAGCCUCAUCUCUUUGAGGUAACAAGAGAGCAGGUUAAAGAAUGAGUCUUAUCUUUCUGAAGUAGCAAGGAAGCAGACUGGAAUUUGCAGAUCUAUUUCUUGAAGCAGUUGUGGGCAGAUUAAAGUUGGCAUAUCUUAUCUCCAUGUAUCGGUAAUGGAGCAGAUUUGAGCCACCGAUCCUAUUUCCUUACAGUCAGAAUCCAGCAAAAUGAGGCAAAAUUGGCCCUAUUUGAGAUCUUUGCUUUAUUCUCAUUACACGACAAUAAGCAAAGAGGGGCAGCUGUAAUGGCCCAUUUUUGCCCGGGCUUACACCAAGACCAAAACCAAAAUAAAAAACAAAAAUAAUAAAAAUCCAAAAUUAAAAGUCCAAUGUCCGGUUACAAAUAUUUGGGCCAAAAAUAAUUUAAACCCCAAAAUGACCCAUAACCCAAUAAGUCCUAAAAAUUAAUUAACCCAUAUCCCAAAUUUAGCCCAAAACCUGAGGCCCAAUACACCCAAAGUUGUUUCAGCCUCUGGUGAAUGCCAGAAGAUUCUGGAGCAAGCUGGAACGACACCAGAAGGUUGGUCUCACACGAGAGACCCUUGCGCUCAGCCUCCACAUCAUCCGGGGUCAUCUUCUCCGUACGACCAUCUCUGCAAAAGAACACACGAGAAGAAAAACUAACAGAAUACAAC
rnacentral:lncRNA from 1 species